rnacentral:rRNA from 1 species
UACGUAGGGUGCAAGCGUUGUCCGGAAUUAUUGGGCGUAAAGAGCUCGUAGGCGGUUUGUCACGUCGGCUGUGAAAACCUGGGGCUCAACCCCGGGCCUGCAGCCGAUACGGGCAAACUAGAAUUCGGUAGGGGAGACUGGAAUUCCUGGUGUAGCGGUGAAAUGCGCAGAUAUCAGGAGGAACACCGGUGGCGAAGGCGGGUCUCUGGGCCGAUAUUGACGCUGAGGAGCGAAAGCGUGGGGAGCGAACAGG